CCCGAACCUUAUCUUCUUCAACCUCCCGCGCAGCUUGCUCAGGAUGAGCUUGCCGCAUGCGCGCCCGCAACUGCCGGGCGAAGCUCUCGAAUAGAGCUUAAUCGACCGCUUCCCAAACCCCUGCGUGCGCCUAUAAAAGCCCCGGGACGCCCUCGUCUGAUCCUGCCCCUCCUCUACUCCCCACGUCGCCCGUAGCCGCCGCCCCGCCCAUUCGGAUCUCGCUGAAGCCGAGCCAUUCCGCCGUCAAAUUCGUCGCAGUGAUCACACCCGAGGCCUCCAAACUCCAUUUUCCGAGUCCCCGUUCCCAUGCACAUCAUUUUGACAUUUUGGUUUCCCCUAGAUCUCGCCGGAGCGGCCAAACCUUCGACACCGAGUUCGCCGGAGGACAGGAGCGCCGCCGCACUUCCUCCGCCCCGUCCCGACGCAAGCCGCCACCACCGCGUUGACCCUCUCGAAGCGCCGCAUCUCCCUGUCCCCUCCGCUGUCGUCGGAACUCACCGGAUCCGCCGCCCCGACGCGUCGCCCCUCGCCGGAGCUCGGAGCCGCCGCCUUCGCCUCGCCCCGUCCCGACCACCCCGACCACCGCUGACCCCGCCAUUGGAUUGCCCACGCCGCGCCGGUCCCCACCGCCUCCUUCCCCGUCGCCGAGGAGCGCCGGAGAUGCCACCAUGUCCGCCCCGUCGCCGCUCGUCGCCGGCCACCGACCGCUCGCUGAAUUUCUACGACGAGUAAGAGUUACGUUGUAGGGUAACGAUCUACACUCAACUUGCUGAUGGCGUUGAUGGGACUCCACACCCUUUUGACUGUUUUCGCUGAGAAUUAUGAGGUUGGCAGAUGGCAAUUUUGCUGAGCUCACAUAGCCAUGAUCACUCUCAUUUUGAAGAAGGACGGGGCCACAAGAAUAAACGAGUUUAGGCCCAUCAGCCUUAUCCAUUCCAUAGCUCAGCUGAUCACUAAGGUGUCAUCCAUGAGACUGGCUUCUGUCAUCGACCGGAUCAUCUCCCCCACGCAAACGGCCUUUCAGAGGAAGAAAUGCAUUCAUGACAGCUAUCUUUAUGUUCGGAACACUGUUCGGGCUCUGCAUAGGAAUAAAACACCGGCUCUUCUCAUCAAGCUUGACAUUGCUACAACUUUUGAUAGUGUAUCUUGGGAGUGCAUGAUGGAGUUGCUCCAACAACUAGGUUUCUCCUCUCGUUGGAUAGAUUGGAUAGCACUCCUCCUGUCAACCUCCUCCUCGGCCUGCCUACUUAAUGGCGACCCUGGCGAGAGUUUUUUUGCAUCAGCGAGGACUGUGGCAGGGCGAUUUGCUUUCGCCGCUCCUUUUCAUCCUCUGCAUUGAUCCCCUCCACCGUUUCCUCAAGGCUGCCACCAGGGCGGGGGCACUGAACACCAUUCCGGGCAUGGUGGCGCGGAUGCGCACGAGCUUGCACGCCGAUGACGCCUAAUCUUCAUCAACCCUGUGCGUUUCGAGAUAGAUAACCUCCUAGAGCUCCUUCACCUGUUUGGAGAUGUGACGGGCCUACGCGUCAACCUCUCUAAAUCCUCAGC